rnacentral:rRNA from 1 species
GAUGAACGCUGGCGGCGUGCCUAAUACAUGCAAGUCGAGCGAACAGACGAGGAGCUUGCUCCUCUGACGUUAGCGGCGGACGGGUGAGUAACACGUGGAUAACCUACCUAUAAGACUGGGAUAACUUCGGGAAACCGGAGCUAAUACCGGAUAAUAUAUUGAACCGCAUGGUUCAAUAGUUAAAGACGGUUUUGCUGUCACUUAUAGAUGGAUCCGCGCAGCAUUAGCUAGUUGGUAAGGUAACGGCUUACCAAGGCAACGAUGCGUAGCCGACCUGAGAGGGUGAUCGGCCACACUGGAACUGAGACACGGUCCAGACUCCUACGGGAGGCAGCAGUAGGGAAUCUUCCGCAAUGGGCGAAAGCCUGACGGAGCAACGCCGCGUGAGUGAUGAAGGUCUUCGGAUCGUAAAACUCUGUUAUUAGGGAAGAACAAAUGUGUAAGUAACUAUGCACGUCUUGACGGUACCUAAUCAGAAAGCCACGGCUAACUACGUG